rnacentral:rRNA from 1 species
AUUGAACGCUGGCGGCAGGCCUAACACAUGCAAGUCGAACGGUAACAGGAAGCAGCUUGCUGCUUUGCUGACGAGUGGCGGACGGGUGAGUAAUGUCUGGGAAACUGCCUGAUGGAGGGGGAUAACUACUGGAAACGGUAGCUAAUACCGCAUAACGUCGCAAGACCAAAGAGGGGGACCUUAGGGCCUCUUGCCAUCGGAUGUGCCCAGAUGGGAUUAGCUAGUAGGUGGGGUAACGGCUCACCUAGGCGACGAUCCCUAGCUGGUCUGAGAGGAUGACCAGCCACACUGGAACUGAGACACGGUCCAGACUCCUACGGGAGGCAGCAGUGGGGAAUAUUGCACAAUGGGCGCAAGCCUGAUGCAGCCAUGCCGCGUGUAUGAAGAAGGCCUUCGGGUUGUAAAGUACUUUCAGCGGGGAGGAAGGGAGUAAAGUUAAGACCUUUGCUCAUUGACGUGACCCGCAGAAGAAGCACCGGCUAACUCCGU